rnacentral:rRNA from 1 species
CAUGAAGCUGGAAUCGCUAGUAAUCGCGAAUCAGAAUGUCGCGGUGAAUACGUUCCCGGGUCUUGUACACACCGCCCGUCACACCAUGGGAGUUGGGAAUGCCCGAAGCCGGUGACCUAACCGAAAGGGAGGAGCCGUCGAAGGCAGGCUUGAUAACUGGGGUGAAGUCGUAACAAGGUAAC